GGGUCAGUAGGUUGGUCGUGCCACCGGUACGUACUGGUCUCACUGAUUCCUCCUUCCUGAAGAACCGUAAUGCCAUUAAUUUGUUGUUGCGGGGAAACAGGACUGUUACUUUGAAAAAAUUAGAGUGUUUAAAGCAAGCUAACGCUUGAAUACAUUAGCAUGGAAUAAUGAAAUAGGACGAUCGAUCCCAUUUUGUUGGUUCCUAGGAUUGACGUA
rnacentral:rRNA from 1 species